GAUGAACGCUGGCGGCGUGCCUAAUACAUGCAAGUCGAGCGAACAGACGAGGAGCUUGCUCCUCUGACGUUAGCGGCGGACGGGUGAGUAACACGUGGAUAACCUACCUAUAAGACUGGGAUAACUUCGGGAAACCGGAGCUAAUACCGGAUAAUAUAUUGAACCGCAUGGUUCAAUAGUGAAAGACGGUUUUGCUGUCACUUAUAGAUGGAUCCGCGCCGCAUUAGCUAGUUGGUAAGGUAACGGCUUACCAAGGCAGCGAUGCGUAGCCGACCUGAGAGGGUGAUCAGCCACACUGGAACUGAGACACGGUCCAGACUCCUACGGGAGGCAGCAGUAGGGAAUCUUCCGCAAUGGGCGAAAGCCUGACGGAGCAACGCCGCGUGAGUGAUGAAGGUCUUCGGAUCGUAAAACUCUGUUAUUAGGGAAGAACAAAUGUGUAAGUAACUAUGCACGCCUUGACGGUACCUAAUCAGAAAGCCACGGCUAACUACGUG
rnacentral:rRNA from 1 species